GUGGGGAAUCUUGCGCAAUGGGCGAAAGCCUGACGCAGCCAUGCCGCGUGAAUGAUGAAGGUCUUAGGAUUGUAAAAUUCUUUCACCGGGGACGAUAAUGACGGUACCCGGAGAAGAAGCCCCGGCUAACUUCGUGCCAGCAGCCGCGGUAAUACGAAGGGGGCUAGCGUUGCUCGGAAUUACUGGGCGUAAAGGGCGCGUAGGCGGACAGUUUAGUCAGAGGUGAAAGCCAAGGGCUCAACCUUGGAAUUGCCUUUGAUACUGGCUGUCUUGAGUACGGGAGAGGUGAGUGGAACUCCGAGUGUAGAGGUGAAAUUCGUAGAUAUUCGGAAGAACACCAGUGGCGAAGGCGACUCACUGGCCCGUUACUGACGCUGAGGCGCGAAAGCGUGGGGAGCAAACAGGAUUAGAAACCCUGGUAGUCC
rnacentral:rRNA from 1 species